AACGAACGCUGGCGGCGCGCCUAACACAUGCAAGUCGAACGAGAAGGCGUAGCAAUACGCUUGUAGAGUUGGCGAACGGGUGAGUAAUACGUGGGUGACCUACCCUCGAGUGGGGAAUAACCCGCCGGAAAGGCGGGCUAAUGCCGCGUACGCUUCCGUCCUCACGGGGACGGAAGGAAAGCUAUACCGUGGGUACGGCGCUCAAGGAUGGGCUCACGUCCUAUCAGUCUUGUUGGUAGGGUAACGGCCUACCAAGGCUACGACGGGUAGCUGGUCUGAGAGGACGAUCAGCCACACUGGCACUGCGACACGGGCCAGACUCCUACGGGAGGCAGCAGUAAGGAAUAUUGCGCAAUGGGCGAAAGCCUGACGUCAGCGACGCCGCGU
rnacentral:rRNA from 1 species